rnacentral:tRNA from 1 species
AAUUAAAUGGCUGAGUUCAGGCGAUAGAUUGUAAAUCUAUAAACGAAAAUUAAUUUUCUUUAAUUA